GGGGUUGUGGCUCAGGGGUAGAGGGUUCACCUCGAAUGUGAGAGACCCUGGGUUUGAUCCUCAGUGCCACA
rnacentral:tRNA from 1 species